rnacentral:rRNA from 1 species
UUUGCAUAUCAAUAAGCGGAGGAAAAGAAACUAACCAGGAUUCCCUCAGUAACUGCGAGUGAAGCGGGAAAAGCUCAGACUGAAAAUCUUCGGAAUUGUAGUCUGGAGAAGUAUGGUCAGCCGAUGAUGAUGAGUGAAGUCUUCUGGAAAGGAGCGCCUUGGAGGGUGAUAGUCCCGUUCAUACUUAUCAUUAGAAGCGUA